rnacentral:rRNA from 1 species
UACGAAGGGGGCUAGCGUUGCUCGGAAUGACUGGGCGUAAAGGGCGCGUAGGCGGCUUGCACCGUCAGAUGUGAAAUUCCUGGGCUUAACCUGGGGGCUGCAUUUGAUACGUGUGGGCUUGAGUGCGGAAGAGGGUCGUGGAAUUCCCAGUGUAGAGGUGAAAUUCGUAGAUAUUGGGAAGAACACCGGUGGCGAAGGCGGCGACCUGGUCCGUGACUGACGCUGAGGCGCGAAAGCGUGGGGAGCGAACAGG